ensembl:lncRNA
GACUUUCAGCUGAAAUGUGAAGAGUUUUCAUGAAUAUUAUUAAUAGUAAAUAUUUAAAAGUUUUAUUAUAAUGUUUUUACUGCCAGGCCAAGAACCAGAAGCGUGGUCGCUGCCUCCCCGCCCUCCAAUGGCCUGCUGUCCUCAGCAGACCCCAGUCAGCUCAGCCAAUCAGCUCCCAGCAUCAUGGAGCCCCUGCUGUGUUCCAACGCCAUGAUGCAGGCCAGAGCUCACAUCCAGACACGUACGUGUACCACACACACACACACACACACACACACAGUUUUAUGAUUGACGUCUCUUCUCCUCUGCAGGUCUGGGUUCCCACAACGCUGCAAAUGAGCAAAAUCUUUCAAAGGAUCUUUGGUCAGCUUUGCAUCCACGGACACCGAAGCUGUUGGCUCCUCUGGACGUCCGUCCUGGAGACACCACAGCACGUCCAGCUCUACGACAUCGUCUCCCCCUGAAGCCCAUCAACCAGAGCCCACUGAGCUCCAGGUCUCUUCACAGGAGAACAGGGCGCUCUCUGGGAGCUCCACGCACACACAGCAGCUGUCUCACUUUGAUCAACUUUGAGGAUGACGAAGGUGGUUUACGUGUGCACGAAGAGACGAAUCAGAAGUUGAAGAAAGCAUCAGGUGGUGAUGAACACACAGACUUAUUUUACACUGGGAACGAUGCGACACCCUUUGUAUCGACAUCAGAGGAGGAGAAGAGUGAAGGAGACAUAUUUAACCUGAGUGGUGAUGAUGAUGAUGAUGAUGAUGAUGAUGAUGAUGAUGAUGAUGAUGAUGAUGGUGGGGCUGUUAUCUGUUCUGAAUGGGUUUACACAAAUGGCAAACCGGACAUUGUCAUCACAGCAGAUAGAAAGGUCAAAAGAAGCCCAGAUGAAGGAAACACAGAGUUUGAAGUCUCUAACGUCAUUCCAACGAGCAAGGACGGAAUAUUUAAAGUUGUGAAACUCAAACUGAACAAGGAGAAAAGAUCCAAUCACAGCUUUGAACAGAAGGCGGUUCCACAGGCCAGUCACUCCUUUAACACAGUGGCACACAAGCCCAAAGCCAAUAAGAAGAACUCAACGUAUUCGUCACCCGUCAAAGAGAAAACCAGGAGAGGUCCUGAUCCGUCUGCCACCAAGAAUGUUCAGUCAAAGUCUAAAUACGCCUCCAAUAAUCCAUCACCACGGAAGAAAGUCUCUGAGCAUCUGCAGAACAAACGAGCACACGACAGGGUGAGCAUCAGCCGAGGCAGACGCGCCGCCGUCAGAGAGACAAUCGCUGCUCCGCACUCAAAGAAAGCCUGCGUUGGUGCCAAAAACCAGCGCUCCAAGUCGGUGUCGGACCUCGUCACCUACGAGGACAUGUUCCUGCAGAUAAACAGCGGGGACGAGGGUCCGGCCAUCUACGAGAUGUUCGCCGGUCCUCUUUACGACAACCUACGUGUCUCCGCCUCCAGUGAGAAACGCAGGGAGAGGCACGUCCAGUCGGCGCCGGCGAAGAAGAGUCAACCAGGCCACAAACUCAAACACAGAGCGCCAAAACCAAAACCAGUGCAGAACAAGAUGAGGAGGAGCCCCAGUGAGAGCUCAGUGGUUUCCACUAAAGCCAAAGCCAAACCACUUCCUCCCAAGGUGAAACCACACCUCCUACCCGUGUCAGAGAAAGGUGUUUACAAAACCAAAGUUGUCCCUGAACCUCCACCUGAGGUCCAUCAACUUAAAGCUGUUGAUCUUCCUCAAGAGCGAGUGAAAAGUCCCCUUCUGUCCACUAUAGAGGAAUCUGAAACACUCACAUCUGAUGAUAAAACCCUGACGAGACAAAUAACUCUUUCUCACGCUGAACAUUUAAGUCGUAUUUACCCGAGCGUGCACGAAUCCGAGGUGAGUUCACCUGCUGUGAAGUCGCCCGUGCAGCCACUGAGCGCUCACCAACCAAAGAUCAACACGUGGACGUCUUCCUGCACCAGCACCAGCACCAGCACCAGCACCUGCACCAGUAGCACUCACCAAGGUUGGGGUCAAUUCCAUUUUUAAAAUUACAAUUCUGUCUUCAGUUAUCCAUGUUCAAUUACAACUAAUUUACUAUUACGUUAACCAGUGUUUUAUCCUUUUACAAUUAUUACUUUCACCCUGAAAUCAAUUACAUUCUUCAUUUCUAAAAUUA